rnacentral:misc_RNA from 1 species
AGUCGUAACAAGGUUUCCGUAGGUGAACCUGCGGAAGGAUCAUUAUCGUAGGGCUUUCGUCCUGUCGAGAUAGCGCCCUUGCCUAUUUUUGGGAGCACCGUUCGUUUCCUCAGCAGGCUUGCCUGCUACUGGGACCCUCAACAUCUUUGUAAAUACAGUAAUCGUCUGAAAACAACAAAAGUCAAA